CAGGAUGAACGCUGGCGGCGUGCCUAAUACAUGCAAGUCGAGCGAACGGACGAGAAGCUUGCUUCUCUGAUGUUAGCGGCGGACGGGUGAGUAACACGUGGAUAACCUACCUAUAAGACUGGGAUAACUUCGGGAAACCGGAGCUAAUACCGGAUAAUAUUUUGAACCGCAUGGUUCAAAAGUGAAAGACGGUCUUGCUGUCACUUAUAGAUGGAUCCGCGCUGCAUUAGCUAGUUGGUAAGGUAACGGCUUACCAAGGCAACGAUGCAUAGCCGACCUGAGAGGGUGAUCGGCCACACUGGAACUGAGACACGGUCCAGACUCCUACGGGAGGCAGCAGUAGGGAAUCUUCCGCAAUGGGCGAAAGCCUGACGGAGCAACGCCGCGUGAGUGAUGAAGGUCUUCGGAUCGUAAAACUCUGUUAUUAGGGAAGAACAUAUGUGUAAGUAACUGUGCACAUCUUGACGGUACCUAAUCAGAAAGCCACGGCUAACUACGUGCCAGCAGCCGCGGUAAUACGUAGGUGGCAAGCGUUAUCCGGAAUUAUUGGGCGUAAAGCGCGCGUAGGCGGUUUUUUAAGUCUGAUGUGAAAGCCCACGGCUCAACCGUGGAGGGUCAUUGGAAACUGGAAAACUUGAGUGCAGAAGAGGAAAGUGGAAUUCCAUGUGUAGCGGUGAAAUGCGCAGAGAUAUGGAGGAACACCAGUGGCGAAGGCGACUUUCUGGUCUGUAACUGACGCUGAUGUGCGAAAGCGUGGGGAUCAAACAGGAUUAGAUACCCUGGUAGUCCACGCCGUAAACGAUGAGUGCUAAGUGUUAGGGGGUUUCCGCCCCUUAGUGCUGCAGCUAACGCAUUAAGCACUCCGCCUGGGGAGUACGACCGCAAGGUUGAAACUCAAAGGAAUUGACGGGGACCCGCACAAGCGGUGGAGCAUGUGGUUUAAUUCGAAGCAACGCGAAGAACCUUACCAAAUCUUGACAUCCUUUGACAACUCUAGAGAUAGAGCCUUCCCCUUCGGGGGACAAAGUGACAGGUGGUGCAUGGUUGUCGUCAGCUCGUGUCGUGAGAUGUUGGGUUAAGUCCCGCAACGAGCGCAACCCUUAAGCUUAGUUGCCAUCAUUAAGUUGGGCACUCUAAGUUGACUGCCGGUGACAAACCGGAGGAAGGUGGGGAUGACGUCAAAUCAUCAUGCCCCUUAUGAUUUGGGCUACACACGUGCUACAAUGGACAAUACAAAGGGCAGCGAAACCGCGAGGUCAAGCAAAUCCCAUAAAGUUGUUCUCAGUUCGGAUUGUAGUCUGCAACUCGACUACAUGAAGCUGGAAUCGCUAGUAAUCGUAGAUCAGCAUGCUACGGUGAAUACGUUCCC
rnacentral:rRNA from 1 species